GUUAAGAUGAUCUUGUUUAUUGCUGUUUCAUUUAGUGCUUGGAUUUUUUUGGAACAUAUCCCAUGUUAAAUGGGGUCCUUCUGUAAUUUAAAUAAUAAUAGGCAAGUUAGAAAAAUUCUAACGAAAACUAACUGUAAAAGAGCAUCUACAAUAUACAGUAUGCUGAGGAAUGAUAAAGACAAUUAUGAUAAUCAAUUCAAAUCAGGUGUAUACAGAAUCCCACUGACUGAUGUAAAUACUGGACAAGAUAAAGCCUACAUAGGUACAACUGGGAGGAAUCUUAAAAGAUAGAAUUAAAGACCACAAAGAUGUUAAAAAAGCUAAUUUAACAGCAGCACUAGUGACAAGUGCAUACAAAAGUAUGUUGAGAUACAGUGGGCUAGAGCAAAAGUUAUAAAAAAUUUAGAUGAUAAAGAUGACUUAUUGAUAGCUGAAACUAUAGAAAUUAUGAAAAGGAGGGAGAGAAACAAUUAUAAUAAAAACAGCAAAACUAUUUCAACAGCAUGGUAAAUACACAACUAAACUCAUGAC
rnacentral:lncRNA from 1 species